rnacentral:rRNA from 1 species
GACGAACGCUGGCGGCGUGCUUAACACAUGCAAGUCGAACGGAAAGGCCCUGCUUUUGUGGGGUGCUCGAGUGGCGAACGGGUGAGUAACACGUGAGUAACCUGCCCUUGACUUUGGGAUAACUUCAGGAAACUGGGGCUCAUACCGGAUAGGAGCUCCUGCUGCAUGGUGGGGGUUGGAAAGUUUCGGCGGUUGGGGCUGGACUCGCGGCUUAUCAGCUUGUUGGUGGGGUAGUGGCUUACCAAGGCUUUGACGGGUAGCCGGCCUGAGAGGGUGACCGGCCACAUGGGGACUGAGAUACGGCCCAGACUCCUACGGGAGGCAGCAGUGGGGAAUAUGGCACAAUGGGCGGAAGCCUGAUGCAGCGACGCCGCGUGCGGGAUGACGUCCUUCGGGUGGUAAACCGCUUUCGCCUGUGACGAAGCGUGAGUGACGGUAAUGGGUAAAGAAGCACCGGCUAACUACGUG